rnacentral:lncRNA from 1 species
GUUGUAAAUCUGUUGUGUGUCACACACAUUCCUGGUUUUCCACCAUGCAGGUCUGACUGGUGUUCAUGAGUGAGCUGUGUUUCAUUUCCACGUCAGGUUAAAUGAGAGGGUGUGUGGCAGAGCAGAGGGACUGAGAUGGAGAGCACUGACAGGCACGGCUGUGGCACCUGCUUCCCUCUUACUCAGACUUCAACUGUUCCCUCUGCUCAAACUUGUGGCUGUCGUGUSCUUGGGAGCAGUGCCCACCGCAGGGGCGAAGUCAGGAACUGGAAGGUGUUUCAGGUAAGCAUCCGCUAAUGAUGCUAUUAGCUCUURUCCUGCCGUAACUCAUGGUUAUGGUCUUUGUUUGUAAAACAUGAGACAAAGACCAGGAUGAAAGAGACAUCAAAGCGUAACAGAAGGGAAAAGUGUGGAUUGAUGCCUUUACUAGGUAGCUCACCAAACACACUGAAGUCCUCCAGACAGAUGACAUUGAGGAGGGAAGGAUAAUGRGAGGAAAAAUGAGAAGCAAGAGGUGAGGAUUAUCACAUCCUCUGGAAUCASUGUAGCCACGAGACUUUGCAACCAGUGUGCUCAGCCUUGCACGUGGGCCUUCCAGAGCUGGUGAGAAGUUCUGAGUGGAGCCACAGGCUUGGCUGUCUUUCCAGCCUGCGGGGUCAACAGUCGGAGACUGCGGAAGGUGAGAGGCAGCAGAGGAGGAAACACAGUAGCGAUAGUGUCUGGAUCAGCAUCACAAAAGAGGAGGGACCAGAUGAGGACACCAGUGGUCUGAAAUCAAGCCAGCCUGGGACGCCCUGAUGGCGCUUGGGCAGGUAACAAGGUCCUUGUUAUUUCCAAGGGAGCAAAACCAUGAAGCAUCCUGGGACUGGUCAGGGACGGGAGAAUACAUGUAGCACUGCGAUGGGGAUGGUUGUUUGCAACCCAUGAGGGCAAGACAUGGCUGUGGGCAUGGGAAAGGUGCCAGUCACCCUUUUGGGUGCCAGAUAAAAAGGAUGCUGGAGGGGAGUCUUUCUGCAGCAGGUCAGCAACCAGAACGAUGUAUCUAGACCUGCAUGUUAGAAACACAAGGCCAGUUGUGGCAGUCCAGCAUGGAGAAGAUCAUGAUCCACUUGUAGGGCAGUGAUCGCUUUGUGCUGUCCCUUCUCUGUGUGCRCUUGGGACUCUUUGGAGUCGAGCUGGAGCUGCUCAUUGCCGGACGCAGGCUGAUCUUCUAGCUGCCAGCAAAGCCRCACACGUGGUGAGACAUCUGAGCACCUGAGCCGCCGCCAGCCCAGCCGUUCUGCAGGAGACACUGGCC